GACGAACGCUGGCGGCGUGCCUAACACAUGCAAGUCAACUUGACUGAAGGAGCAAUCUGACAGUAGAGUGGCGCAAGGGUGCGUAACGCGUAAGUAACUUGCCCCAAGGUAAGGAAUAACGUCGAGAAAUCGGCGCUAAUACCUCAUAAUGCAGCGGAUCCGCAUGGAUAUGUUGUUAAAGGUUUACCGCCUUGGGAUAGGCUUGCGUCUGAUUAGCUAGUUGGUGUGGUAACGGCACGCCAAGGCUACGAUCAGUAACUGGUCUGAGAGGAUGAUCAGUCACACUGGAACUGAGACACGGUCCAGACUCCUACGGGAGGCAGCAGUGAGGAAUAUUGGGCAAUGCUCGAAAGAGUGACCCAGCAACGCCGCGUGGAGGAUGAAGGUAUUCUAUAUCGUAAACUCCUGUGAGAGCAGACGAAAGACAGAUUAUAAUCUGGAUGACUGUAUGCUCAGAGG
rnacentral:rRNA from 1 species